GGCUGGUAGGGGAGGCCAAGCACGAUUCAAUAGAUCGCUUCCUAUGGUGAAGCCCAAACUGAGACCAGGCAGCCAGCCCGACUGGGACUCCUUCACGAAGGUGCUAGAUAGAGCGUGAGACUCUAAGUUGAGGUCACUUCGCUGGUAGGAGCAAUGUACCUGUGAACGUGACAGGGCUGGAUAUUUCUAGCUGUCAGGAAUUUGUUCCUUGAGAAGAAUGUGGCUGAUGGUGGAUUAAUAUAGGGGACUCCCUGAGGACCAUGGUUUAGCUGCUGCUGGACCCUCCUAGCUGUUGCAUGUUUUGGGAAAUCAAGAAUGCAAUUGGGAUCUCAGUGUCAUCUCAACGAGGAAGGUGUGCGUGGAAGUAGCUCGUGCUGUGGACCAGGUGUUCCUUCUCUUAAAAUGUGCCCAACCCAGCCCUCGUAUCAAAAGUCCUCAUAAUUUGCCGGAGGACAGAAAAUGUACUCACAUAAACUACGAAACUGCACAGAAAAAUUUUACUUUUCUAAUGCAUGGAAUCUCCAUUCCUCACGAUGGACGCGUUUUGUUAAAGAGACCAGUGGAAGCCAAGAGUCUGAAGCCAAAGUGCAAAUCAGUAACAGCUAUUCCUGGUGGAGGACAGGAUGUGCGUACCACCUAGCACGUUGUAUAUUCACAGACAUAAAGGAUGCACAAAACAUGCCACGCACUGCAUUUCUGCGCUAAUGCAUAGGAGGCUAAUGAUAAACUCUUCGCUCACUCAAUGAUUUGGUAUUCAUGUUUUGACUCAAAAUUUAAUGCCUUUCCUGAAGUACAUUGUUUUAAAUGUAUUUUUAAUCCUGUUAAAGGAGUAGAAGCAGAUCAGAAAUAAAAAUUCCAUUAAUAAAGCAUAUAGUCAGAGAUACUAAGUUCAUUAAUUUAUAAUUCUGUAAAUCAUAAUUUACUAACUCUGAGAAAAUUGGCCUAGUGACCCACACUUAAUUUUGCAAUCUAUGUUCACUAUCCAUGUAUAUGUAAGCACAUAAUCAAAUCUUCUUAUAUUUAUUGGAUCUGACAAAAUUCUUUAAAAAAA
rnacentral:lncRNA from 1 species